GCCCUUGUGGAUCAUGGUUGAUCAUCUUUGUCUCAUAGUUUGGUGAGGCUCUCUUCAUGAAGAUGUUGUAGGUUCGAAUCCUACCGAGGGCA